UGUUAGUGUGUGCUGUGUGUGUGUAUGUGCUGUGUGUGUAAGGGUGUUAGUGUGAGGGUGCUUUUAGUGUGUGUUUGUGUGUGUGUGUGCUGUAUGUUUGUGUGUAAUGUGUGGGGGUGUGGAGGCCAUUUAGUUAAUAUCCCCCCUCCCUUCUUACCUUAUGUAGGGAGGGGCGACCGUGCUCCUGCCUUCCCUGGUGGUCCAGUGGAGAGUGAACUCUAGCCUCCUGUGGGGAUAGAGUUCACUCUCGCGAGAUCUGAGCGCAACGCUCUGACCGCGUGAGAGGAACCUGGCGGAGCUGCUGACAAGAGCUCCCGGGUCCUCUCCUGCCUCCCUUCCUGCAGGUCGGUGAGGGAGAUCUUUGAUCUCCCUCACCUGCCCACGGAGGGAGGCACAUAGUGCGUGCUGUGGGGAUUAGGG